rnacentral:lncRNA from 1 species
GUGGUCCUGAAGUCAAGGUUUUAUGGGAUACUUAACCACUUUUUUAAUUUAGAAAAAGAGGAUAUGACUGUUUUAUUUUUGCAAAAAUUACCUAUAAUUCCAUCACCAAAACAAAAUGAGAAAUAUAGACACUUGUGUUUUUCUUAUUCCUUUCUAUUUCUGUGUGUGUUGACAUGCCUUCGUAUAGGGUACUUAUGGUAUUAAUAUUUCUUUUAAUUUUGUCAUUAUAAUUUUUUUUUUGAGAUAGAGUGUUGCUCUCUUGCUCCUGCUGGAGUAUAGUGGUAUGAUCUUGGCUCACUGCACCCACUGCCUCCCAGAUUCAAGAGAUUCUCCUGUCUCAGCCUCCCAAGUAGUUGGGAUUACAGGCAUGCACCACCACGCCUGGCUAAUUUUUGUAUUUUUAGUAGAGAUGGGGUUUCACCACAUUGGCUAGGCUGGUCUUGAACUCUUGACCUUAAGUGAUCCACCUGCCUCAGCCUCCAAAAGUGCUGGGAUUACAGGCGUGAGCCACUGCACCGGGCCUGCAGUUAUAUUUUAAUAUCAUAUUGAAAUGUUUCCAAUUUCACUACAUACAUUGUCUUCAAAAUGAUCACUUAGUGACUGUAAAUAUUCUUAUGUGUGUGACAUCAUUUCUUAUAAGGAAGAUGCUUCUUCUAAGUCGCUUUUGUUUUGUUUUUCUACCACCCAAGUAAGACAUUAUAUAAAAUUUAGAAAAUACAGAGAAAGGAAUAGAAGAAAAUUAAGAUCAGUGGUAAUCCCACUAUCCAGAAAUAUCACUUCUUAUGUUUUCUUUCAGUUUUUUCUAUAUUCCUAGAACAAAAAGAGGAUCAUACUACAAGUACUUCCCAAAUAGCUUUACUUUUUGUGAUUGUAAAAAAACAUGUAUCAAGGGCCAUGAGAGAACUUCUAGGGGAGAUAGUAAUGUUGCAUAUCUUAAGAGUGACCUGGAUUACACAAAUAUGUGCAUUUGCCAAAACUUAGAAAUGUGGGCUUAGGAUGUGUGCAUUUCAUUGUAAGAUUUAUAUCAAAGGAAAAAUAUAUAAACAAAUACUGAACACUAGGUAAUAAGAAGCACGCCAAAGUAUUUAUGAGAAAGUGUGUAGAUGCUUAAAAUUAAUUUUGAAUUUUUUUUAAAAAAAAGAUAGAUUAAAGGAAGGAUAGAGGGAUGACCAGGUAUGUACUAAAACAAAUAAAGAGCUAACGGUAAAAUCUAGAAGGUGAGUAUACAAAUGUUCACUGUACAAUGUCUUCCAUGUUUCUGUAUGUUUGAUAAUAAUGAAACAUUAUUAUGUUUCAUAAUAAUGAAAUAAUGAAUGAGCAAGUAGAUACUAUUACCGCCUGCCACAUACUCUUUCUCUGCACAGCUUGCACACUUCAUUUGAUACAUGGCCAUCUGUCAGAUUGUGAACCACAAAAAUCUGAGACAGGUCUCAGUUAAUUUAGAAAGUUUAUUUUGCCAAGGUUGAGGACGCAUGCCUGUGACACAGCCUCAGGAGGCGCUGACAACAAACAUGCGCCCAAGGUGGCCAGAGCACGGUUUUAUACAUUUUAGUGAGAUAUGAGACAUCAAUCAACGUAUGUGAGGUGAACAUUGGUGCCAUCUGGAAAGGUGGGACAACUUGAAGUGGGGAGGGGACUUCCAAGUCAUAGGUAGAUAAGAGAGAAAUGGUUGCAUUCUUUUGAGUUUUCUGAUUAGCCUCUCCAAAAGAGGCAAUCAGAUAUGAAUUCAUCUCAGUGAGCAGAGGGGUGACUUUAAUAGAAUGGGAGGCAGGUUUGCCCUAAGUGAUUCCCUGCUUGACUUUUCCUUUUAGCUUGAUGAUUUUGGGGGCCCAAGAUAUGCUCCUUUCACAAGAUGAACCACAGGGAGGCUCUGUCUCUGUAUCAAUCCAUUAGUCAGAUUGUCAUGCAUUCAUUGAGUUUUUGGUUUGGAUGAUUUUUGCUUAUUUUAUUGUCAUAGUAAAAUGCACAUAACACAAAAUUUACCAUUUUGACCAUUUGUAAUUGUUCAAAUCAGUGGUGUUAAGUACAUUCACAUUGUUGGGCAACCAUCACCUCCCUCCAUCUCCAGGACGUUUUUCACAUUCCCAAACUAACUGUUCUCAUUAAACAGUACCUCCCCCAAAGCCCCUUCUCCACCCCUACCCUGGAAAUAACCAUUCUACUUUCUGUCACCAUAAAUUAGACUGCCCUGGGUACUGCAUGUAAGAGGAAUCAUACAGUAUUUGUCUUCUUGUGACUGGCUUAUUUUACUUAGCAUAAUGUCUUCGGCGUUCAUCCAUGUUGUAGCACGUGUCAGAAUUUCCUUUCUUAAGGCUGAAUAUAUUCCAUUUCAUGUAUACACCACGUUUUGUUUAUCCAUUCAUCUGUCAGUGGAUCCUUGAGUUAUUUGCACCUUUUGGCUAUUGCGAAUAAAGCUGCUAUGAACAUGGGUGUACAAAUACUGUCUUUUGAGUCUCUGCUAUUUCUGGUGUAUAUACUCAGAAGUGAAAAUCUGGAUCAUAUGUUAAUGCUAUGUUUAAUUUUUUGAGGAACUGCUGUAAUGUUUUCCAUAGAGGCUGCAACAUUGUACCUUCCCACCAGCGAUACACAGAAGUUCUGAUUCCUCCACAUCCUCACCAGUGCUUGUAUUCUCUCUGUAUGUUUUACUGAUA